rnacentral:rRNA from 1 species
UGCUAUACAUGCAAGUCGAGCGGACCGACGGGAGCUUGCUCCCUUAGGUCAGCGGCGGACGGGUGAGUAACACGUGGGUAACCUGCCUGUAAGACUGGGAUAACUCCGGGAAACCGGGGCUAAUACCGGAUGCUUGAUUGAACCGCAUGGUUCAAUCAUAAAAGGUGGCUUUUAGCUACCACUUACAGAUGGACCCGCGGCGCAUUAGCUAGUUGGUGAGGUAACGGCUCACCAAGGCGACGAUGCGUAGCCGACCUGAGAGGGUGAUCGGCCACACUGGGACUGAGACACGGCCCAGACUCCUACGGGAGGCAGCAGUAGGGAAUCUUCCGCAAUGGACGAAAGUCUGACGGAGCAACGCCGCGUGAGUGAUGAAGGUUUUCGGAUCGUAAAACUCUGUUGUUAGGGAAGAACAAGUACCGUUCGAAUAGGGCGGUACCUUGACGGUACCUAACCAGAAAGCCACGGCUAACUACGUGCCAGCAGCCGCGGUAAUACGUAGGUGGCAAGCGUUGUCCGGAAUUAUUGGGCGUAAAGCGCGCGCAGGCGGUUUCUUAAGUCUGAUGUGAAAGCCCCCGGCUCAACCGGGGAGGGUCAUUGGAAACUGGGGAACUUGAGUGCAGAAGAGGAGAGUGGAAUUCCACGUGUAGCGGUGAAAUGCGUAGAGAUGUGGAGGAACACCAGUGGCGAAGGCGACUCUCUGGUCUGUAACUGACGCUGAGGCGCGAAAGCGUGGGGAGCGAACAGGAUUAGAUAC